CCUACGGGAGGCAGCAGUGAGGAAUAUUGGUCAAUGGGCGAGAGCCUGAACCAGCCAAGUCGCGUGAAGGAUGACGGCCCUACGGGUUGUAAACUUCUUUUGUCAGGGAGCAAUUUGGUCCACGCGUGGGCUUAGCGAGAGUACCUGCAGAAAAAGCAUCGGCUAACUCCGUGCCAGCAGCCGCGGUAAUACGGAGGAUGCGAGCGUUAUCCGGAUUUAUUGGGUUUAAAGGGUGCGUAGGCGGAAUAUCAAGUCAGCGGUAAAAAUUCGGGGCUCAACCCCGUCGUGCCGUUGAAACUGAUGGUCUUGAGUGGGCGAGAAGUAUGCGGAAUGCGUGGUGUAGCGGUGAAAUGCAUAGAUAUCACGCAGAACUCCGAUUGCGAAGGCAGCAUACCGGCGCCCAACUGACGCUGAAGCACGAAAGCGUGGGUAUCGAACAGGAUUAGAUACCCUUGUAGUC
rnacentral:rRNA from 1 species